GGGGAGAGCGAACGCUGGCGGCAGGCCUAACACAUGCAAGUCGAGCGGCCGUAGCAAUACGGCAGCGGCAGACGGGAGAGUAACACGUGGGAACGUACCCUUUGGUUCGGAACAACACAGGGAAACUUGUGCUAAUACCGGAUAAGCCCUUACGGGGAAAGAUUUAUCGCCAAGGGAUCGGCCCGCGUCUGAUUAGCUAGUUGGUGGGGUAACGGCCCACCAAGGCGACGAUCAGUAGCUGGUCUGAGAGGAUGAUCAGCCUCACUGGGACUGAGACACGGCCCAGACUCCUACGGGAGGCAGCAGUGGGGAAUAUUGGACAAUGGGCGCAAGCCUGAUCCAGCCAUGCCGCGUGGAUGAUGAAGGCCCUAGGGUUGUAAAGUCCGUUUCGGCGGGGAAGAUAAUGACGGUACCCGCAGAAGAAGCCCCGGCUAACUUCGCGCCAGCACGCCGC
rnacentral:rRNA from 1 species